GGAAGGGUCAAGCAAUAUAUUUGAAACCAUGUCUUCCAGUAAACCAUCUGAAUCUACAUUAACUGAGGCUGAAGGGCUCACUGAUGCAAAAAACCAGCCACUAAUGCAGCUUCAAUACCUUCAAUGGCCUGUGUGGCUUCUUGGCCCUGCCAUUCUCUUAGCCACUGGGAUGGUGCCCACUUUGUGGUUACCUAUUUCAUCAGUUUUCAUUGGUCCCAACAUAGCCAGCCUUCUUUCCUUGACUGGACUUGAUUGUAUUUACAAUCUCGGAGCAAACCUAUUUCUUCUGUUAGCUGAUUCUUGUGCUCGCUCACCAGACACCAGUGAAGAUUCCACCAGCAAGCCGCCUUUCGGUUAUCAGUUAUGGAACAUGGUCGCGAACAUUAUGGGUCUAGUCAUUCCCUUGGUAGUAUAUUUUGCUUCUCAGAACAGUUUCCUUCAGCCUCAACUUCCUUUCAUUUCUUAUGCUGUGCUCUUGGGUCCCUAUCUUCUGCUUCUAUCUAUACAGAUACUCACAGAGAUGCUGAC
rnacentral:misc_RNA from 1 species